rnacentral:rRNA from 1 species
UUUUAUGGAGAGUUUGAUCCUGGCUCAGAGUGAACGCUGGCGGCGUGCCUAAUACAUGCAAGUCGAACGAUGAAGCUUCUAGCUUGCUAGAAGUGGAUUAGUGGCGCACGGGUGAGUAAGGUAUAGUUAAUCUGCCCUACACAAGAGGACAACAGUUGGAAACG